ACCAAGAUCUCUGAGAGCCAUGAUUAUUUGUUUCGUAUUUGCUAAUCUGAUACCAGAAAGCAAAAAACUUGUGCACUAACCUAAUUUUUUCUUAAAUUUAUACAUGCCUUUUUUUCAGAGAAUCUGUGAUACUGUAACAUUAUACCCUUGGAAACGGAUGAUUUUUUUAUAAUAACUUAGAAAAUAUAUUGAAAAGCGAUAUUAAUUUUUAGUGCCUUAAGGAAAUGUUGAAAGACUGAUAAAUUAUUAUGAGAAAUUCAGUGAGUGAUAUCCAAACCAUCAAAGUCUUUUGGUGUUGCCAUACUAAAAGUUACAAUACUGUUUGAAAAAUUUCAUGGCAACAAAAAAUUCAAGUAUUACAAAUCAUGAUAAAAAGACUAUAACCUUAACAAGAAGUAAUUUGUUGUGAUGAAAAAAAAGACUGUAAAUAAAUAAUUUUCAAACAAAACAUUUUUACAACUUUAAAAGUAC